AUUGAACGCUGGCGGCAGGCUUAACACAUGCAAGUCGAGCGGAAACGAUCCUAACUUGCUAGGAGGCGUCGAGCGGCGGACGGGUGAGUAAUGCAUGGGAAUCUGCCCGAUAGUGGGGGACAACCUGGGGAAACUCAGGCUAAUACCGCAUACGUCCUACGGGAGAAAGCAGGGGAUCUUCGGACCUUGCGCUAUCGGAUGAGCCCAUGUCGGAUUAGCUUGUUGGUGAGGUAAUGGCUCACCAAGGCGACGAUCCGUAACUGGUCUGAGAGGAUGAUCAGCCACACUGGGACUGAGACACGGGCCAGACUCCUACGGGAGGCAGCAGUGGGGAAUAUUGGACAAUGGGCGAAAGCCUGAUCCAGCCAUGCCGCGUGUGUGAAGAAAGCCUUCGGGUUGUAAAGCACUUUCAGCGAGGAAGAACGCCUUGGGACUAAUACUCCCGAGGAAAGACAUCACUCGCAGAAGAAGCACCGGCUAACUCCGUGCCAGCAGCCCGCGGUAAUACGGAGGGUGCAAGCGUUAAUCGGAAUUACUGGGCGUAAAGCGCG
rnacentral:rRNA from 1 species